rnacentral:rRNA from 1 species
CCUACGGGCGGCAGCAGUGGGGAAUCUUGCACAAUGGGGGGAACCCUGAUGCAGCGACGCCGCGUGAAGGAAGAAGUGUUUCGGUAUGUAAACUUCUAUCAGCAUGGAAGAAAAUGACGGUACCUGACUAAGAAGCCCCGGCUAACUACGUGCCAGCAGCCGCGGUAAUACGGAGGGGGCAAGCGUUAUCCGGAUUUACUGGGUGUAAAGGGAGCGUAGGCGGAUGUGCAAGUCAGAAGUGAAAGCGCAAGGCUCAACCGGGGGACUGCUUUUGAAACUGUAUAGCUAGAGUGCAGGAGAGGGAAGCGGAAUUCCUGGUGUAGCGGUGAAAUGCGUAGAUAUUAGGAGGAACACCAGUGGCGAAGGCGGCUUACUGGACUGUAAAUGACGCUGAGGCUCGAAAGCGUGGGGAGCAAACAGGAUUAGAUACCCCUGUAGUC